rnacentral:rRNA from 1 species
GUCCCGGCUGUAAACGAUGGACACUAAGUGGGGGAGGGCUUGCCUUUCUCUGCUGCAGCUAACGCGUUAAGUGUCCCGCCUGGGGAGUACGGCCGCAAGGUUAAAACUCAAAGGAAUUGACGGGGGCUCGCACAAGCGGUGGAGCAUGUGGUUCAAUUCGAUGCAACGCGAAGAACCUUACCUGGGCUUGAAGUGGAGGUGGUAGGAACCGGAAACGGUAACGACCCCGCAAGGGGAGCCUUCAUCAGGUGUUGCAUGGCUGUCGU